UUCCCGGGUUGAUCCCUGCCGGAGGUUACUGCUAUCGGGGUCCGACUAAGCCAUGCGAGUUGAGAGGGGUAAGCCCUCGGCAUACUGCUCAGUAACACGCGGAUAACCUGCCCUUGGGUCCGGGAUAACCCCGGGAAACUGGGACUAAUACCGGAUAGAUCAGAGAAACUGGAAUGUUCUUUGGUUUAAAACUCCGGUGCCCAAGGAUGGGUCUGCGGCCUAUCAGGUAGUAGUGGGUGUAACGUACCUACUAGCCAGCGACGGGUAAGGGUUGUGAGAGCAAGAUCCCUGAGAUGGAUUCUGAGACAUGAAUCCAGGCCCUACGGGGUGCAGCAGGCGCGAGAACUUUACACUGCGGGAAACCGCGAUAAGGGGACCCCGAGUGCCAGCACCUAGUGCUGGCUGUCCAGCUGUCUAAAUAACAGCUGUUAGCAAGGGCCGGGCAAGACCGGUGCCAGCCGCCGCGGUAACACCGGCGGCCCGAGUGGUAACCGUUUUUAUUGGGUUUAAAGGGUCCGUAGCCGGCUUAUUAAGUCUCUUGGGAAAUCUGGCGGCUCAAUCGUCAGGCGUCCAAGAGAUACUGGUAGGCUUGGGACCGGGAGAGGUGGGAGGUACUCCAGGGGUAGGGGUGAAAUCUCGUAAUCCUUGGGGGACCACCGAUGGCGAAGGCAUCCCACCAGAACGGGUCCGACGGUGAGGGACGAAAGCUGGGGGCACGAACCGGAUUAGAUACCCGGGUAGUCCCAGCCGUAAACGAUGCUCGCUAGGUGUCAGGUGCGGUGCGACCGCAUCUGGUGCCGCAGUGAAAACUUGAAGCGAGUCACCUGGGAAGUACGGUCGCAAGGCUGAAACUUAAAGGAAUUGGCGGGGGAGCACUACAACGGGUGGAGCCUGCGGUUCAAUUGGAUUCAACGCCGGG
rnacentral:rRNA from 1 species